rnacentral:rRNA from 1 species
GACGAACGCUGGCGGCGUGCUUAACACAUGCAAGUCGAACGGAAAGGCCCUGCUUGCAGGGUACUCGAGUGGCGAACGGGUGAGUAACACGUGGGUGAUCUGCCCUGCACUUCGGGAUAAGCCUGGGAAACUGGGUCUAAUACCGGAUAGGAGCCAUUUUUAGUGUGAUGGUUGGAAAGUUUUUUCGGUGUAGGAUGAGCUCGCGGCCUAUCAGCUUGUUGGUGGGGUAAUGACCUACCAAGGCGGCGACGGGUAGCCGGCCUGAGAGGGUGGACGGCCACAUUGGGACUGAGAUACGGCCCAGACUCCUACGGGAGGCAGCAGUGGGGAAUAUUGCACAAUGGGCGCAAGCCUGAUGCAGCGACGCCGCGUGGGGGAUGACGGCCUUCGGGUUGUAAACUCCUUUCGCUAGGGACGAAGCUUUUUGUGACGGUACCUAGAUAAGAAGCACCGGCUAACUACGUG